rnacentral:rRNA from 1 species
UACGUAUGGAGCAAGCGUUAUCCGGAUUUACUGGGUGUAAAGGGAGUGUAGGUGGCCAGGCAAGUCAGAAGUGAAAGCCCGGGGCUCAACCCUGGGACUGCUUUUGAAACUGCAGGGCUAGAGUGCAGGAGGGGCAAGUGGAAUUCCUAGUGUAGCGGUGAAAUGCGUAGAUAUUAGGAGGAACACCAGUGGCGAAGGCGGCUUGCUGGACUGUAACUGACACUGAGGCUCGAAAGCGUGGGGAGCAAACAGG